AAAACAAAAACACCAAGCCCGCCCGAAACCCCGGUAAAACAUAAGACACCCAUUCCGCCAACUCCAGCUCCUAAGACUCCAGUUCUAGAAGACACGAUAGAUGAAAUUGAAAAUGUUAGACCUUGGGGCAAGGACCCCAACAUAAGAAAUGACGAGGGGAGGUGCCCAAUUCAUGAGAUACUUGAAGAUAAGUCAUUCAAUGAAGACAAAAUCAUUUCUCUUCUUCCGUUACUAAUAGAGGAUGGAGCAGAUGUUGAUGCUACAGUGACAACUUCAGGUGAUACAGCCCUACAUAUGGCGACAUCCAGGGGAAUGGUGAAUGUAGUCAGAAAAUUACUUGAUCUUGGUGCAAACGAGUCCAUCGAAAAUAAGCUUGUCAAAAUGCCAUAUGAUGUUUCCAUCGACAAUGGUUUUGAUGAGAUAGCAGAGGUUCUUAAAAACAGAAUGGUUGUGAGAGGAAAAUGGCAGAAAGCUACAAAAAAAGCUAAAAACUGUGUUAUUCUUUAGUCAUUACAGUAUAGGCUGUAUAUGAAAUAUAUAUUAAUAAAACAUAAUGACAAUAAAACAACUAAAAAUGCAUUUAACUCUACUUCUAUGCUUCCAUGCACGUAGAAUCUAGUUAUAAAUUAGAAGCUCUCUUUUAAAAAGCGAAGUUGUGCGGAUGCAACGGGUACCUCUGUGCAUUUGUUGAAAUUUUAAUUCGUCCUCAUUUUUAUUGUCUAGUUGUGGCGAUCCCGUGCUUAGGAUUCACGACCAGGAAACACGAUCUCAAAUUAACAUUAUGACAUGUAUGAAGCUUAUUUGGGUACCCUGGCAUUUAGGCCCAUUGACUGAAGAAAUUAUUCGUUAAACAAUUCUACUAAUUAUAAAAAAUAAAAAAGACCCAAAAUUAGCGUGGUUAAAAUGAUAGAGCCCUCAUUACGUUUGUUGAAGGGGCACACGUAAUAGGUAUAUAGGUACAAAGUGUAUAUAUGUCAUUCUGUUCCAAUG
rnacentral:misc_RNA from 1 species